UAGGGAAUCUNUCCGCAAUGGGCGAAAGCCUGACGGAGCAACGCCGCGUGAGUGAAGAAGGAUUUCGGUUCGUAAAGCUCUGUUGUUAGGGAAGAAUGAUUGUGUAGUAACUAUACACAGUAGAGACGGUACCUAACCAGAAAGCCACGGCUAACUACGUGCCAGCAGCCGCGGUAAUACGUAGGUGGCAAGCGUUGUCCGGAAUUAUUGGGCGUAAAGCGCGCGCAGGUGGUUUAAUAAGUCUGAUGUGAAAGCCCACGGCUCAACCGUGGAGGGUCAUUGGAAACUGUUAAACUUGAGUGCAGGAGAGAAAAGUGGAAUUCCUAGUGUAGCGGUGAAAUGCGUAGAGAUUAGGAGGAACACCAGUGGCGAAGGCGGCUUUUUGGCCUGUAACUGACACUGAGGCGCGAAAGCGUGGGGAGCAAACAGGAUUAGAUACCCUGGUAGUCCACGCCGUAAACGAUGAGUGCUAAGUGUUGGUCUCAUAAGAGAUCAGUGCUGCAGCUAACGCAUUAAGCACUCCGCCUGGGGAGUACGACCGCAAGGUUG
rnacentral:rRNA from 1 species